AACUUUCAACAACGGAUCUCUUGGCUCUCGCAUCGAUGAAGAACGCAGCGAAAUGCGAUAAGUAAUGUGAAUUGCAGAAUUCAGUGAAUCAUCGAAUCUUUGAACGCACCUUGCGCUCCUUGGUAUUCCGAGGAGCAUGCCUGUUUGAGCAUCAU
rnacentral:rRNA from 1 species